rnacentral:tRNA from 1 species
UCCCUGCUGGCUCAGACAGUAAAGAAUCUGCCUGCAAUGCAGGAGGCCCAGGUUCGAUCCCUGGGUCAGGAA